rnacentral:rRNA from 1 species
UCCUACGGGAGGCAGCAGUAGGGAAUCUUCCGCAAUGGACGAAAGUCUGACGGAGCAACGCCGCGUGAACGAUGAAGGCUUUCGGGUCGUAAAGUUCUGUUGUCAGGGAAGAACAAGUACCGGAGUAACUGCCGGUACCUUGACGGUACCUGACCAGAAAGCCACGGCUAACUACGUGCCAGCAGCCGCGGUAAUACGUAGGUGGCAAGCGUUGUCCGGAAUUAUUGGGCGUAAAGCGCGCGCAGGCGGUUCCUUAAGUCUGAUGUGAAAGCCCCCGGCUCAACCGGGGAGGGUCAUUGGAAACUGGGGAACUUGAGUGCAGAAGAGGAGAGCGGAAUUCCACGUGUAGCGGUGAAAUGCGUAGAGAUGUGGAGGAACACCAGUGGCGAAGGCGGCUCUCUGGUCUGUAACUGACGCUGAGGCGCGAAAGCGUGGGGAGCGACAGAUUAGAUACCCUGGUAGUCCACGCGUAACGAUGAGUGCUAGUGUAGAGGUUUCCGCCCUUUAGUGCUGCAGCAAACGCAUAGCACUCCGCUGGGGGAGUACGUCGCAAGGCUGAAACUCAAGAUGAAACG